AUUGAACGCUGGCGGCAGGCUUAACACAUGCAAGUCGAGCGAGCGGCGGACGGGUGAGUAAUGUCUGGGAAACUGCCUGAUGGAGGGGGAUAACUACUGGAAACGGUAGCUAAUACCGCAUACCAUCAGAUGUGCCCAGAGGGGAUUAGCUAGUCGGUGGGGAAAUGGCGCACCUAGGCGACGAUCCCUAGCUGGUCUGAGAGGAUGACCAUCCACACUGGAAUGGAGACACGGUCCAGACUCCUACGGGUGGCAGCCGUGGGGAAUAGUGCACAAUGGGCGCAAGCCUGAUGCAGCAAUGCGGCGUGUGUGAAGAAGUCCUUCGGGUUGUAAAGCACUUUCAGCGAGGAUGCGUUACUCGCAGAAGAAGCACCGGCUAACUCCGUGCCAGCAGCCGCGGUAAUAC
rnacentral:rRNA from 1 species